UAUGUUCCAGGUAUGUUGUAUAUUUACCUCUUUUGUAGGUGGAAGCCUUUGACGUUAACAAAAUUUGCUUCUUGAACGAAUUUGUAUAUGUAACUACUGCUUCCUGAACCAAUUUCUUUUUGUUUUCGUUUUCUAAUUGAGGACCCCAACCCAACUAUGUCUUUGACGAUAACUAAACCUGCUUCCUAAACGAAUUUCUAUAUGUAGUUCCACUCAAAUUAUAGCACCUACUUACUAACGAGUUUUCGUUCUGAUACAGAUUUUCUUAGUGACCAGUUUUCUUAGUUUUCUUAGUUUUCAUAGAACGAUUCUAACAAAAAUUGAUUCCUGUUUCAUGGUGGUUUUGGGGACAGAGUUCAACGUCACUAAUAUAGAAUGAUGGAAAUAGAGUUUGGUCCUCUACCUACACCAUAGGAAGAAGAUGAAGAAACCAAUUCAUCUUUGUACUCUGUUCCUUGUAUUCCACACAACGAAUUCGUUUUCUUUUCCUUUUAUAGCCCCCUCUUUUUCAAAGGUACUCUGUUCCUUGUAUGACAAUUUCAAUCACGCCAAAUACUACGAUGGGCCCGCUGUUGUUGAAGAAAUAGUGGUAGUUAUCAAGUAUAAGAUUAGCAAUAUUGAUAAAGUUAGAAGCACAAGCUUAUAACGAGCUUCUAAGCCCAUGGGGUAUUAUUUCUGUCCUUUUCCUGUUGUUGUUUGUCCUGUUUGAUCUGUAUUACAGUUCAGUAAGUCAGUCUACUUUGAUUUAUUAUUUUGCUGCUUUAGCAAUUUGGUUUAUGUAUCUGAUCUACGCUUGGCUCUUUUGUUACAUAAUUUAUUCUGUUCCUUUUAUUCCACACAACGAAUUCGUUUUCUUUUCCUUUUAUAGCCCCCUUCGUUUUCUUUUCCUUCUUUUUCAUUUUCUUGUCCUUUUUGUAUUGAGAUUGAGAGUUUACUUCAUAGUUAAUAUAUGACAUAAUUUCAUUAACAGAAUUAUUCUAACAAAAUUUCGUCCCUGUUUUGAUGCUGUAAAUAGGAAUUUUUUUUGCUAUUUUUUGUUCUGAAAUUUGUUUUGCUGGCUUAAUUGGAUGUUCUUUGCCUUCUUAAUUGUAUAUCAUCAUUUGCAGGUUCUUUAUGGCUAGGAAGGAGUAUCGCUCCCUCGAAUACAGGUUGGACUUGUUGAAGUUUCAUAACGUAAUGGAACGAAUUAGAGAGAACGUGAGGGAGCCACAUAUUUUACUAAUGCAGAGAACACCUUUUUGAGGCUUGUUUAGAUGUUAUUGGGAUGGUUUUAUUAUUGAACAUGGAUGCAGGAAGUCAGAUAAUGAUAUUGUUUCUAUUUUGGAAUGUUUUGACAAAGAGAAAAAGGCUUUCAUUUUUGGGGCAAGAAUUGAACAGAUAACAGGAAAUGAUAUGUCUUUCCUGUUUGGGUUGCCCUGUGUAGGGGAAGAAAUCAAUUUUCAGCACUAUAAGAGAAUAGUAGGUAGUGGUUUCACAGAAAGACGGCUUGCUGAUUACAAGGAUUUGAGCAAAAGGGUUUUGGAGGAACAAAUAUGCAUGGUAGUGUGGAGGAGAGUGAUUUCGUGCGUUUGGUUUGUCUAUAUUUCUGUUUGACACUAUUCUUUUGUCAUAGUGGAAACAACUUGAUGAAAAAAUUGAUUGCGUAUGUAGACAAUUUGGAAAUGAUGCACACAUGUGCAUGGGUGAUUGCAGCAACACAGUACCUAGAGAACUCUCUUUGAAUAUGAACUCUAUGGAAAGUGCGUGUGGUUGCUUAGUUGGCUUGCUUUUUUGGGUCUGUGAACGUACGAAGUUAAUUCAGCCCAUAGAAGAAAGAGAACACAUUUCCCCUAAAUUCGUGAAAUGGAAUUUGUUGGAGCUAUAUGCAAUAUUGAAAUGUGUUCCAAUUCAUACAUUGCAGGAGAUUAAGGCAAAAGAUGAAACCGGUGCCCCAAUAGAACGCACCCAAAUUGUGGAAAUAUUUUCAAAUAGUGGUGGGAAGACAAGCGGGAAACCUAUAAAGUUUAUAGAUGACUUUGAUCCUAUUAAGGCAUUUCAGUUGCUACCUACUCAAUUGAUGGAAUGCAGUCAGGAAGAACAUUAAAACAGUAAGGUGGACAUUUAUGAUAUGCAAAGAAAACUGCAAGAGGUCACUGCAAUGUUGGAUGUGGAAUGUUCGAAGAACAAGGAUCUUUUAACAGAAAAUGAAAGGUUGAAGAAGGAAAUUGCAAAGCUUCAUAAAGGAAAGGGAAAAGAUGAGUCACCAGAACCACGCAGUAUGAUUGUGAGGAUGAGGGCCAGAACAAGACAAACUCUGAUUCGGCCGGAGUAUGCAUAUGCAGACAAAUUAGGGAAAGCAAAUUGCAAAAAAAUGAAAGUUGAUCAGGGGUAUACCUGCGAAGCCAAGCCAACAGGUGUGAGAAGAUUGAGAGUUGGCAAGUGUCUGUCUCUCCAUGAAGCUUGUUGUUAAAAUGUUAACUCGCAAUUGUACGGGCCAAUUAGUAGUAUAGCAAGACAAGUACGAGGUCGUACCCACGAGGACUGAGAAGUUAAAAUUAGUUAUGUACUUAGAUUACCAAAUUCAAGAAAGUAGGAGGUUAAGUCUAAAAUAGAAUUUAAAGCAAGAGUGAUUGUAAUUGUUGAACAAAUGAGGCAAAACGAAAUUUCAAACAAAAGCAAAGUGAACAAAUGUAACAAAGAGUACUUUUGUAGGCUGGAAAACAGAUUGGGAGACUAGGGCAUUCGAUUCACCGUAACAAUUCAAUUCUGGG